CAUGUGCAACUGGGGGAGGGGCAGAGAGAGGGACAGAGAAUCCUAAGCAGGCUCCAUGCUGUUGGCGCUGAGCCCGUUGGGCUCCAUCUCAUGAAACGUGAGAACAUGAACUGAAACCGAGUCGAUGCCUGAACAACUGAACCCCCCUCCCCCCCAGGCUCCCCUAGGUUUCCUUUUACUCUAAUUCAUACAGUUGGAUGCUGUUACUCAUAGCAGCUUUGUUCUGGAAGUUCAUUAUGAACACUGAAUCAGCAAGUGCUGAACCAUGGCUCCUGGGGAGAUCCCACGCAAGGUGCCUGUGAGUCUCUGGCCGCAACACUUGCGUCAACCAAUCAAUACGUAACUUUGUUUUAUGCCUCUCUGUUAAAGACCUCUUAAUACAUGUUGGUAAUUCAUUAAUCUUGAACUCAGGGCCAACAGCUGCAACACUUACGUGAAGCUUGUCUAGCGCAUUUUCUCUGUAAGGCUUAGCAGCCUUCCUGCACUUAACACUAGCCAGCACUUCAGCACUAUGCUUAGGGGCAUUUCAGCACAAUCACCGACAGCACAAAGAUGGGAAAACUGUGGCGCAAAAUAGAGCUAAAGAAAAACACUGGUUUACAGUGCCAGAGCUGAGGCGCGGAGGCAGCGUCCCCUCUUUUGAUUUCAGCUGGGAACACGCACGUCAGACAAUUCAGAUCAUUGCACGUCUGCGGUGACGUGGGUUUGGGGUCACAAGCAAAUUUGCAACUGCAGAAUCUAAUGAGGAUCCGCUGUGUGAUGUAAAUCGACCCUUUCAGUCCCGCUGUGCACAGACGCAGGUAGAUGGUUUGCCCAGCAGGGACCCUGUGGCCACAGUCCCACGCUGUGGGUUUCAGCAGCCUUGUGACUGGUCUGCUUCCGUUUCCUUCCUGUCCUUCAGUUCCCGGGACGGCAGCCACUGUGAUACCGCUUUGCUCGAGAUGCCGCGGUGGCUGCCCUUCCUGCUCAGGUGUCCUGUGUCCGGCCCCACUGCUGCCCUCUCCUCCACCAGUGCGCCCUCCUCACACUGUGUGCGUCCGGGUGAGCCUGGCUGUCCCCUGAGAGACCAAGCCUCGUCCGCCCCAGAGCCUCUGUUCUUGCCAGUCCCUCGGCCUUGAGGACACCCUUCCCUGGGAACACCCUUCCUCCGGUUCGAACGUCCCCUUCUUGGGUCUUGGGCUACGUCAGGAGCAGCCACUCCCCCACGCACUCCUCUCUCACCCUCCUGGGUGUUCCCCACGCCCUCGUCACCGUCCGGAGCGACUGCUUACCGUCCGUCUGCGCCGCUGGAAUGCAAGCUUCCGGAGCAGGGGCUUCGGCAGCUGCGUUCCGGUACCUGGAAGGGAAAUGGGCACGUAACUGUUAGGCUUCAAAUAAGGAUUGACGAAUGAGUGGUGGCCCUUGGUUCGCUGGAGUGAAAUCCUAAAAUGCACUCCUUUUCCAUCCAGAGCCGUGCAGCCAGCACCGGUCAGUUUCACAACACUUUUGCGAACCCAAACAAGCCCCACGCCGCUUUGUGGUCACCCCAGCCCUCCAGCCCCAAGCAGCCGCUGGUCUGCUCUCUGUGUGUGCACGUCGGCCUGUUCGGGACGUUCCGUGCGAUGCAGCUCUAGAAGCCGGUCUGCAGGCUUCUGGCGUCUUCCACGUGCUGUAGCGCUGCCAGGCUCACCGAUGCUGGGCGAAUGGUGGAAACCCACAGCUUACUAGACAAGGGAAAUAACAGCGGGGGUCUGUGUUUGUUAUUGCCGAAUAAACGUCCCUCGUGUGAUUACACUGCAUCUUGUUCAUUCAUCGGGUGGCGGACGUCGGGGUUGCCUCCGACUGGGGGCUGCUGUGAAUACUCAUGUACAAGUUUUGUGUGGACUUAGGCUUUCGUUUUUCUUGAGUAUGAACCCCAGUGGAAUUGCUGGGUCAUAUCUUGGUUUAUUUUUAAUCCGUCUUUGUACCAGACAUUCACAUUCGUGAUUCACAUUUAAAAGGAGUCUGCCUUCCCCUAUUUUCACCUAUAAGAGCCCCAUAUAAAUGGAAGCUGGACUGACUCUUGAGUGAAUGUAUAUGAAUUUGUUAGUUACUGUUGAAGUAGGUCUCGCGGUUGGAGAGGACUUUUGAUUCCUUUCAUGUUGGCAGGAAGAAUUUCUUCUCUAAGUUCCUUUAUACCUAACACUAGGAAGGGCCAAGUCUUUGAUUCUGUACCGAGAGCUUUAUGUAAUAACAUUCUCUGAAAAAUUCUGAAUCAUACAGAAUGAGAGAAUCCAGGGUAAAUUGUCUUCUGAGUCCUGAGCAAUCUAAGGACUUACUUUUCUGAUUAUAAUAUGCUCGCUUUGGAAAAUACACAACAGAUUGAAUAGAAAUCGCCCGUAUGAUCUUCCUUAGGGUUAGCCACUGUUAACUCUCUCACCGGUCCAGUUUAGAUGCUGAGUAAGUGUACUGGUGGACUGUGGCAAAUUACAGGCCAUCUAUUUAAAAAUAGUCUCCAAAAAAAAUAGUCUCAAAGAAGAAAUUAAAAUAUGUUUUUUUUUUUCCUUCUCACUGGUCUUCGAAAGUAUUUUGAAGUCUUAGAAAACCCUUUCUGGUCUACGGACACACCAUCCUGAACGCGCCCGAUCUCGUCUUAUCUCGGAAAACCCUUUCUGUAUACCACAGCAGAAAGUAUCGUUUGUGAAGUAAACAGUAUGUGUCAGUUACCUUA